UCGCGGCAUUGCCGAGGAAAGUCCGGGCUUCACAGGGCAGGAUGCCGGAUAACGUCCGGUGGAGGCGACUCCAAGGAAAGUGCAACAGAAAUAAACUACCCUUCUUGUAAGGGAAAAGGUGGAAAGGCAGUGUAAGAGACUACCGCCCUGCCGGUAACGGCAGGGGCAUAUGUAAACCCCAUCCGAAGCAAGACCAAACAGAGAGCGAUACGGCGGCCCGUCGUGCCCUCAGGUAGGUCGCUGGAGGUCACCGGCAACGGUGAUCCGAGAUAGAUGAUUGUCGGGACGUUUCGUCCAACAGAACCCGGCUUACAGCCUGGAU
rnacentral:RNase_P_RNA from 1 species